GUUUAGUCCAUAUAAGGGCUAGAACUUCCCUUACACUUAAAUCUUAAAAGGAAAAUAUUUUCUUAAGAUUUCUUUUUUUAAACAUUAAGUGGUGCAUUAAUCUUUUUUCUAUAGCCUAAUAUGCAAAUCUGCCUACUUUGAGUAAGGCUAAAUAGCUUCAGGCUUCUUCUGUAGGCGUGAGUUGAACUUCAGUUGAGUGUUUGGAAGAUGUUUGUCAUCAGUCACUAGAGAGUGA
rnacentral:lncRNA from 1 species